UGUUGUCGUAGGGCUGGGAGGAGGACCUGCUGCCUGAGGAGAGGGAGGUUCCUCUGCUAAACCUCUACCUUACCACCAAGAGAGUGGAGGACAUCGCCCUGAGGCUCGUCUCCCUGCGCCAGGCCUUCACUACCCUGCUUGGUUCCACCCUGAGCAGGAACCAUCUGUUUGUGGCGGGAAAGGUCCUCCUGGGCGCACUGGUUCAGGCCAACCACAUGGACGAGGCCAAGUUCAUCCGUACCUAUACGGACUUUGUGGACUACCUGAGUGACCCCUCCAAGCGGAAUGACAUGGAGAGGGA